rnacentral:rRNA from 1 species
UGGCGGGAACUCUAAGGAGACUGCCGGUGAUAAACCGGAGGAAGGUGGGGACGACGUCAAGUCAUCAUGGCCCUUAGGGGAUGGGCUACACACGUGCUACAAUGGCGUAUACAGAGUGCUGCAAUACCGCGAGGUGGAGCGAAUCACACAAAGUACGUCGUAGUCCGGAUUGGAGUCUGCAACUCGACUCCAUGAAGUCGGAAUCGCUAGUAAUCGUAGAUCAGAAUGCUACGGUGAAUACGUUCCCGGGCCUUGUACACACCGCCCGUCACACCAUGGGAGUGGGAUGCAAAAGAAGUGGCUAGUUUAACCCCUCGGGGAGGACGGUCACCACUUUGUGUUUCAUGACUGGGGUGAAGUCGUAACAAGGU